rnacentral:rRNA from 1 species
GACGAACGCUGGCGGCGUGCUUAACACAUGCAAGUCGAACGCUGAAGGCCUGGCUUUUGUUGGGUUGGAUGAGUGGCGAACGGGUGAGUAACACGUGAGUAACCUGCCCUCUUCUUUGGGAUAACGCCCGGAAACGGGUGCUAAUACUGGAUAUUCACUGAUCUUCGCAUGGGGGUUGGUGGAAAGGUUUGUUCUGGUGGGGGAUGGGCUCGCGGCCUAUCAGCUUGUUGGUGGGGUGAUGGCCUACCAAGGCUUUGACGGGUAGCCGGCCUGAGAGGGUGACCGGUCACAUUGGGACUGAGAUACGGCCCAGACUCCUACGGGAGGCAGAAGUGGGGAAUAUUGCACAAUGGGCGAAAGCCUGAUGCAGCGACGCCGCGUGAGGGAUGGAGGCCGUCGGGUUGUAAACCUCUUUCGCUCAUGGUCAAGCCGCAACUGUGGGUUGUGGUGAGGGUAGUGGGUAAAGAAGCGCCGGCCAACUACGUG